CUUCCGGCUGUGGCCGGGGCAGCGACCCAGUCCGAGAGGCGGAGGCAAGGGCCUAGGGGGUGGAGCUUAGGGGGGAGGGGACAGCGCCGCACCUGAGUUCUCCAGGUUGAGGCCUGGUCACCCCGAACAAGUCAUUGGCCACACAGAAAUACUCACAGGAGCUACGUUGAUUGAAUGUUUCCUGUGUGCCAGGUACUAUGUGCAAAGUUCAAGCCACAGCUCACAGUCCUGCUGGGUUGAGUGCUAUCAUAUUAUCCCAUUUACCCGAUGAGAAGACUGAGGCCCACAAGGAUCAAGUGAUUUGCACUAGUGUACACAGCUG